GACGAACGCUGGCGGCGUGCCUAAUACAUGCAAGUCGAGCGAAGAUUUUCUGGUGCGUGCACGAGCAAAAGUUAGCGGCGAACGGGUGAGUAACACGUAAAGAGCCUUCCUCAUAGACUGGGACAACUGUUGGUAACGAUAGCUAAUACCGGAUAACAGUAUUUCUCGCAUGAGAGAUAUGUAAAAGUUGGUUAUGAUAACACUAUGAGAUGGCUUUGCGGUGCAUUAGCUAGUUGGUGGGAUAAAGGCCAACCAAGGCGACGAUGCAUAGCCGACCUGCGAGGGUGAACGGCCACACUGGGACUGAGACACGGCACAGAGUCAUAGAGGAGGCACCGGUAGCGAAUCUUCCGAAAUGGGCGAAAGCCUGACGGAGCAACGCCGCGUGAGUGAAGAAGGAUUUCGGUUCGUAAAGCUCUGUUGUUAGGGAAGAAUGGAUAUGUAGUAACCAUAGAUGUAAGAGACGGUACCUAACCAGAAAGCCACGGCUAACUACGUG
rnacentral:rRNA from 1 species